rnacentral:rRNA from 1 species
CCUACGGGGGGCAGCAGUGGGGAAUAUUGGGCUAUGGAGGAAACUCUGACCCAGCAACGCCGCGCGAAUGAUCAAGGUCUUCGGAUCGUAAAGUUCUUCUCUAAGGGAAGAAGAAAGUGACGGUACCUUAGGAAUAAGCCUCGGCUAAAUACGUGCCAGCAGCGGCGGUAAGACGUAGGAGGCAAGCGUUAUACGGAAGGACUGGGCGAAAAGGGGGCGUAGGCGGUUUGACAAGUUGGUAGCGUAACUCCGGGGCUCAACCUCGGCACUACUACCAAAACUGUCGGACUUGAGUGCAGGAGGGGCAAAUGGAAUUCCUAGUGUAGCGGUGGAAUGCGUAGAUAUUAGGAGGAACACCAGUGGCGAAGGCGAUUUGCUGGACUGUAACUGACACUGAGGCACGAAAGCGUGGGGAGCAAACAGGAUUAGAUACCCGAGUAGUC